rnacentral:rRNA from 1 species
AUUGAACGCUGGCGGCAGGCCUAACACAUGCAAGUCGAGCGGAGCGGCGGACGGGUGAGUACUGAUUAUGAAUCUGACAGGUGGUGGGGGAGAACGUCCGGAAACGGGAGCUAAUACAGCCGACUCUAAGAUGAGCCUAGGUCGGAUGGGUGAGUUGGGGGGGUAAAUGCCUACCAAGGCGACGAUCCGUAACUGGUCUGAGAGGAUGAUCAGUCACACUGGAACUGAGACACGGGCCAGACUCCUACGGGAGGCAGAAGUGGGGAAUAUUGGAGAAUGGGCGAAAGCCUGGGCAAGCCAUGCCGCGUGUGUGAAGAAGGUCUUCGGAUUGUAAAGCACUUUAAGUUGGGAGGCGUUACCAACAGAAGAAGCACCGGCUAACUUCGUGCCAGCAGCCGCGGUAAUAC